ensembl:lncRNA
ACGGCACAUUGUAGAUGUUCCAGCGAACAAUGGGAGCAGUGAGCAAGAUGUGAUUGAAGCAGUCUGUCAAAUCCUCAGUUUGAUUUAUAAUAAUGGGGUUGCAUUGACAUGAGGAUUAAACACAGCAAAGCAUAUACUCACUGGCACUGCAUGUAAUGAAUUAUUCCUAUAAGUGUGUGGAAGGAACUAGUGCUGUUAAAUCGGGGAUAUGUAUUCCUAAGGACACUUUAGAAGAGAGUCUCCCACUGUGGAUUUGUUCCCCAGAAAUCUAAGGACAAUUUUGCUAAGCUCUGCCUUCCCUAGCUCUUCCAAGGUCAAUGCUGCAUUCUUUAUUCUUCUACUCUGGCAAGGUGGAUGGGAAAUUUUGAGAAUCCAGUUUGUGCAAAGUCUUCACCAGCCAGGGUGACACCUACAUGAAGAAACCUGGCACUUUGUCCCACACAAAAGCCUCCUGACCUUUUUUCCAGAACAGAAGAAGAAAAACACUUCUGACUACUAUGAAGCUGAGGCAUUAUGAGGCCACAUCAGAGCUGACUUCAUUCACCAUUUCCAGGCCCGAUUUUCUUUGGAUGUCCUGUUCCUUCCUGAGCGGAGCGGGAGCUUGUGAACUGUGUCGUCAGCUCACAAGGGCUAGAUGUGGGACAAAGGUAUCAGAGGAAAGGCAGGAAGGGAAGGUAUCAGAGGAAAGGUUCUGCACUACUUCUGUGCUCACCAGGACUCAGAGAAGCGGCACGCUGGGUCUCAGUCCAACGUUUUUGUCCCCCUUGCCCAGAGUAAGUCAGGUAGUGCCACAUCCAACUUUACUCUCACUACAAGGGCCUCCAACCCCUUUCUCCUCCAUCCUUGCCUGUGCUAUUUGUGCCGCCAGCUGGCUUGCUUGCUUUGCUAAAAAGCAAGCAAGGCAUGAGGAGGCACAAUACGUCCUUCCUUCACAAUGGGCAGCAACUCUCUAAUUGACCUUGGCACCAGCAGGAAUUGGUGUUCUCCACCCACAGCAGGAAGAACGCACCUCCUUCCUCCACAGCCCUGAGGCACCCCUGGCCUCUAUGCCUCUCCUCAGGCUGUGUUUGAGCCCCUCUCCCCUUCCCGGAGGGAGGAGAGACCUUUUGGAAAGACCUGCAGCAUGAUGGAGCAACCGUGUGAUGGUGGAAGAGCGCAGUAUUCCAGGUGUGGUCUAAGCACCAAGCAGGAGAUGGCAAUCACUUCCCUCCAUCUUGUUACAGGCCUCCAGACUGGGUACAGCCCCUGAACCACUGCCCUCUGAGCCCUACCAUCAACCGGAUUUUUUAUCCAUGUGGUUGUCCAGUCCAUAAUGUCCUAAUUUGGAUACAAAAUUGAGGGAGGCAAUGUCCAAAGCCUUGCUAAAGCCAAGGUAAAUGAUGUCUGCUGUUCUCCCCUCAUCCACAAAUCCAGUCAUUUUAUUAUAGAAGGCAAUCAGGUUGGUGAGGCGUGAUUCACCCUUGGUAAAGGAACGCUGGCUGUUCCCCAACACCUUCUCCUCCCUGUGCCAACAGACGUGCCCCAGGAGGACGCAGAUUUCCACGUGGACUGCAGUGAGGCUGCCAGCCAACAGUUUCCCUUUGGGCUGUUUUUCAAGAUGCGUACAUCUUGCCUUUCUGCAGUCAGUGGGGACCUCCCUCAAUCUCCAUGAUCUUUCGAAGGUAAGUGCAGCCCCACAGGGACAUCAGGCAGCUCCCUCAGCACCCCCAGGUGCAGCUCAAUUGAUCCUAUGGAUGUCUAUGGGUUGAGUUCUCCCAGGUAAUCACUGACUUGAUCCUCAUCGAUUCCUGGCUGUUCUCCUUGAAUCCUAAGCACGUAGACCUAGGAGGCCUUGCCUGUAUGUCUGAGGCAAAGAUGGCUUUGAGCACCACAGCCUUAUCUGUUUCCAGUGUUACCAGAUCAUUUGCCCCAUUCAGGAAUUGGCCCACAUUUUCCUUUUUCAGUCUCUAACUGCUGAAGUUGUGGUAGAAGCUCUUCUUUUUGCCCUUGAGAUCCCUUGCAAAUCUCAACUCCAGCUGAGCUUUAAUCUCAGAAAAGAGACUGCAUGUGACUCCUUUGGACAUUUGUAGCAGUUUUCUGCUUCACCUCAGAAACCUGAGUUAGCUACUCUGAUGGUAGGAACGUACUAAACUUUCAAAUGCAAGCACUGAGACUAUUAAGAAAUGUAAUAUCUGAAUGUCCUCCAUAACUUUGAGUAUAAAUCGUUCUCUUCUGUAUCUGUCCAAAGGCAGCUGCUUUGUUCUGCUUUGUCAGGGAAACUGUUAAUAAUUUAAUAAUGAAAAGGAGCUAAUGAGGCCUAUGGAUUUGAGCCUCAUGCUCAGAUUAUCCAGUGUCUAAUGAAGUGUGAAUUUUGACUGAAGCUUUUUUCCACCCUGAGGGGAAAAAGCCACUCUUAUCCAUGCGGAUUCUCCUGUGACUAAUAAAGGGUGAGCUCACACUGCA